rnacentral:tRNA from 1 species
AGAGAAUGAUAUUUGAUCUAAAAGAAGCUGCUAACUAUCUUUUAAAGCGGUUAAACUCCGUUUUUCUCUU